rnacentral:tRNA from 2 species
GGAGGAAUACCCAAGUCCGGCUGAAGGGAUCGGUCUUGAAAACCGACAGGCGGGUCAUACCGCGCGGGGGUUCGAAUCCCUCUUCCUCCUCCA